UACAGAGGGGGCAAGCGUUGUUCGGAAUUACUGGGCGUAAAGGGCGCGUAGGCGGCCUGCUAAGUCGAACGUGAAAUCCCUGGGCUCAACCCAGGAACUGCGUCCGAUACUGGUUGGCUUGAAUCCGGGAGAGGGAUGCGGAAUUCCAGGUGUAGCGGUGAAAUGCGUAGAUAUCUGGAGGAACACCGGUGGCGAAAGCGGCUCUCUGGUCCGGACCUGACGCUGAGGCGCGAAAGCGUGGGGAGCAAACAGG
rnacentral:rRNA from 1 species